rnacentral:rRNA from 1 species
UAAUGGCGAAUGAAGCGGCAAGAGCCCAAAUUUGAAAUCAGGCCCUCGUGGCUUGAGUUGUAAUUUGGAGACGGGAUACUAGAGAGAGGGAGGGCGACUAAGUGCCUUGGAACAGGCUGCCGUAGAGGGUGAGAGCCCCGUGAGUCGCGUGAACUCGAUCAAUUAGUGCCCGCCGAAGAGUCGAGUUGUUUGGGAAUGCAGCUCUAAGUGGGUGGUAUAUUCCAUCUAAGGCUAAAUAUUAGCGAGAGACCGAUAGCAAACAAGUACAGUGAUGGAAAGAUGAAAAGAACUUUGGAAAGAGAGUGAAAUAGUACGUGAAAUUGUUGAAAGGGAAGGGUAUUUGAUCCGACAUGGUGUUUAGCAGCGGCCCGUUCCUCGUGGAUGGGUGCACCUGGUUUACACUGGGCCAGCAUCGGUUCUGGGAGCCAUAUACGGGGCAGGCGAAUGUGGCCCUUCGAUUCUGUCGGAGGGUGUUAUAGCGCCAGCC